rnacentral:tRNA from 1 species
GCGCCCUUAGCUCAGCUGGAUAGAGCACUUGACUACGAAUUAAGUGGUCGGGGUUUCGAAUCCCUCAGGGCGCGCCA